rnacentral:rRNA from 1 species
UACAGAGGGUGCAAGCGUUGCUCGGAAUUAUUGGGCGUAAAGGGUAGGUAGGUGGUCUCAUUUGUCGGGGGUGAAAGCCUUGGGCUUAACCCAAGAAGUGCCUUCGAAACGGUGAGACUGGAGUCCUGGAGAGGGUCGUGGAAUUCCCGGUGUAGCGGUGAAAUGCGCAGAUAUCAGGAGGAACACCGAUGGCGAAGGCAGCUCGCUGGGACGGUACUGACGCUGAGGCGCGAAAGCGUGGGGAGCAAACAGG